GUGAUUAGGAAACCUAGUGUAAUUAGGGAACCCUAAUCAACAUUUUUAGAAACUAAGAUUUCUAUUUUUGCCCUUAAUACACAAUCCUAGAUUUAGAGCUUAGAAAACCUUAGGGUUAAACCCUAAGGGUUAGAAUGAAUUGAUAGCUUUGCCACUAAAUGUAAAAACCAAAUGACCAAAUUGCCCUUCUUGUAUUAUUUAAUAGAUAACUUGUAUAGGUUGCCAUAACUUUAGUUGGUAAACCAACUCAACCUAGCCAUGUGCCUAUAAACCAAAAAUCUCAGCCAUCUUGCAUCACAAGUACACUAGAUUCAAAUAUUAUAUAAGAUCAAGGAGAGAGAAGUUGCAUAAAUUAGCUCAUUUUACUUACAACACUCAACCAAAACCCUCUCAACUUUAAAUAUCCAAAAUUUUCUAGCUAGACCAGCCCCUAAUCAAGCCCCACUAACACUUGUAGCAGAUCAGAAGCAUUAGAUCAAGAUUUGGUUUAUAGAGGUAUUAAACCUAACUUAGAAAUCUGAACUUUGAUUCCAUGUUAGAUCUUGUGUUUGAAUGUUUAAAUAUGUUGUUUGUAAUGUCUAUAAGUGAUCUGGGUUGGCACAUGUUAGAUCCAUAACAUGUAAGUGCACGAAAUUGAAGUUUUUAAGAAUCUGGAAAAAUUUCAAAAUGUUGUCUGGCAAUGAAUGUCAGACCUCCUAGAUCUCAUCCUGUUUAUGUUUCUAUGUGUUUAAAUGUUUGUAUUAGUAGUAUUUAAUGUAGGCUUGGAUAUGAAACUUGAUUCAAGGUCAGAUUAUAAUUAGAUUGUAAGUUAUUAAUGGUAAAACCUCGUUGAACAAGCAUGACCAAGGAGUUUCUGGGUAACCCAGAAACUCAUUACCCGAGUCUGACAACGUUUUCAAACGCUUUGAUCUGUCAGGGUUUGAUGUUGUUUGUUGAUGUUAUUGUGACCAGAUUGUAGUAUGUUAUAUGAACUUCAAUAUUAUGCCUUUAUAUCACUAAAACAUCAAAUAGAUUUAACACAGUGGCCGGUCAAAGUAGGCCAGAUGAUCACGACUUGUGUUUUCUGGGUAACCUAGAAAACUAAAGAUCGUGAUCUGUGACAGGGUUUGACCGGUAUGGAUCUUGAUCGUGUAUUAUUGUUAUAUGUAUAUUAU
rnacentral:lncRNA from 1 species